AUUGAACGCUGGCGGCAGGCCUAACACAUGCAAGUCGAGCGGAGCGGCGGACGGGCGAGUAAUGCCUAGGAAUCUGCCUGGCAGUGGGGGAUAACGUCCGGAAACGGGCGCUAAUACCGCAUAAUAUCAGAUGAGCCCAUGUCGGUUUUGCUAGUUGGUGGGGUAAAGGCCUACCAAGGCGACGAUCCGUAACUGGUCUGAGAGGAUGAUCAGUCACACUGGAACUGAGACACAGUCCAGACUCCUACGGGAGGCAGCAGUGGGGAAUAUUGGACAAUGGGCGAAAGCCUGAUCCAGCAAUGCGGCGUGUGUGAAGAAGGUCUUCGGAUUGUAAAGCACUUUAAGUUGGGAGGCGUUACCAACAGAAUAAGCACCGGCUAACUUCGUGCCAGCAGCCGCGGUAAUUC
rnacentral:rRNA from 1 species